CUCCAUUCUCUUUUCUCUUUUGCAUUAGAAUUUGACAAAUAACUACAUCCUCGUACCAAACAAUACUCCAAUUUGAGAAAGCAACGUGAAAAAGCAUCCAUAAAGAUGAAUUCCCUCAUCCUGGUAGUCAUGGGCCUGCUCCUCCUAACAGCAGAGCUUAUCCCGGCCGCCCCCGCCCCUUACUUUGACGAAGAUGCAAUGGACCUCAUGGACCCCGUCUUCAACUUCAAGGAUGACUCAGCAGUAAAGAGAAGCCCCAUGUUGCAGAAAAGUUGCAUCUACACAUGUCUGGCCUGCUCCAAAAACACCCAAAUGACGAUGCCGGAGUGUAUCUACGGAUGCCAAAGCGCGGGAAGAGACCCCAGCCAGGCACGAGCAUACAACGCCUGCCACAAGUAUCUCCACAGCGGACGUUAAUAGAAGAAGAAAAAUCAUACUUCAUCCAUCCCUCACCAAAAAAAGCAGAUGAUAAAAAACAUUCUUUAAUCUUUUUUCAAACAGGUGUAUUUCAGUUCUCUCCCAUUUUUCAAUAGUCUGCACAGUUUGGGGCAUCAUUUUCACUUUCUUCCACGUAACUUUCAUGAAAAAGACAAUUUGUUGGGGGUUGACAACUGUUAUUCUCCUUCACCUCCAUCUACCUGCACUUUCAUUCUCUACUUUCAACUUUAGACGACAUUCACUUCCCUUCUAUCAUUUCUUCACAUCCUAAAUUUUCUAUAAGUGUAGAUUAAUUUGAGAUUUUGCUAGAGGUGGUUGGUUAUGAUUUUCCUAACUUUAUUUCUAGUUAGAUAUUUAAGCACCUUUUACUAGAUAUUGCACGUAAUCUAAUUUUCUCAAUUUCACAAUUUGUCCAUUGUGAAUUUCUUUGUAAUAUUUGUAUAAAAAAGUAACCUAUCAACAUUAUGUAAAUACAGAGUUGCUCUAGAAAUAUUCAUUCAUGACUGAUACCUUCAAUUUUCAUUUAUACAUCUUGAGCUUUAAGCUUUAUCACACAUUAGUAGUCCAUUAUUUUAAAGGUAAUAAACAUUUUUGUUUAUAUUUUUUGAUGGAUAUGUAUGAAGAUUAUAAGGAGUUUGAAUAUCCCUGUUUUUAUUGGCGAAGCAGUAUACCAGUAAUGCUGUUGACUUUGUCAUUUUCAGUGACAAGCACGUUAUCGUCGAUCUCUUUGGCUAUGCAUCAAAACUGGCAUUGCAAUAAGCAAUCCUUUCUUAAUAACUAGUUCUCAAGUGUGGUCACCAAGCUUGAAGUAAUUGGAUAUCUUUGCAAGAGUCUGCUUUGAUACAAAGAUGACCUGAUCAAUAGUGCUUACUGAAAUACAUGUUUUGUACCGACGAAAGGCUACAAAAUGGAAAAUGUUUUCUGAUGCUCUGUGCGACCCAAUUCUCACUCGCUAUGCAGAGGCAGUCUCAGUUGGACUGCGGUCUACAAGCACAAAUCUGCAUCAAAUUGCUGGAUUGCAUGUGGUUUGUAGUCCAGUAGGGUGUUUUGCUCCCAAUGACGUUCCAAAGUUUCGAGGAAAAAAACCCACACAAAAACCAUUCUUAGUGAGAAGGGAAACAAAGUGUCUGGCUGGAGCAAACUACUGCAUUGGAGUGAGAAUUGGGUCUUAGAUAGAAAAGAUUUUCUCACAGAUCUAUGGGAACCAGAAGGGUAUAAGUUCACAAACUUUUUAAAGCUGUUAUACCUCUCUAGCUCUCAUUAUCUAUGUGAGGGUUUUGUAAGCUAAGUAAAGUACCUAAUAAAAAAUACUGUCCAUUUUGAGCAAGUAUAUUAAGGUACCCGAUUCAAAGAACUGAAAUAAUUUUCGUUUUGUUGAUGGUCUGUUAAGUUUCAUGGAUAAUAAUCAAAUAUAUUUCUGACAUCAUUUAAUCACAAAUUCUGAAAUUGUUUCUUUAAUCAAGCAGAUUAACUUUUCUAUGUCUACAUAAGUUUGACAUUAAAUAUCUUCAAGGACAGGAAGAUUCACUAUUAGUUAUCAGUAAUUCUAAUUUGAAAGAUAAUAUUACAGCCAGUUUUGGCAUGAAAGUGUGAAUGUUUGAUUGUGGUAACCUUCGAGUGAGCACAGUUACAACCAUCUGACCGGACAUGCAAAGACAUAGAAGUGAUGAUGUCAUGAACACCCACAUCUUUCAUGAUCAUUGUCCACAGAUAAAAUGAAAUUAUUAGUAAGGGAUAGGAAAUGCAUGUGUAUAUUAAGAGUUUUAUUAAGUUUUAACUUAGACUGUCAGAGUAUAUAUUUUUGUUAAUAAUGUGUGAUAUUGUCACACAACAUCAUUUUUGAAAUUUUGUUGACAUUUGUAUGCCAUUCAUUCCACUAUUCUCCCAUAUGUAGCUAUUUAUCUCAUGUAGAUUUCCACCAUGUCAAAUAAAUAAACUUCUCAAUUCAUUUCAAUACAUA